CUACAAGUAGUUAGAGCCCGUUAAUGGGUGAUAGCGUGCCUUUUGUAGAAUGAACCGGCGAGUUACGAUUACAUGCGAGGUUAAGUUGAUAAGACGGAGCCGCAGCGAAAGCGAGUCUGAAUAGGGCGAAUGAGUAUGUGGUCGUAGACCCGAAACCAGGUGAUCUACCCAUGUCCAGGGUGAAGUCCAGGUAACACUGGAUGGAGGCCCGAACCCACGCACGUUGAAAAGUGCGGGGAUGAGGUGUGGGUAGCGGAGAAAUUCCAAUCGAACUUGGAGAUAGCUGGUUCUCUCCGAAAUAGCUUUAGGGCUAGCCUCAUGUAGUAAGAGUCUUGGAGGUAGAGCACUGUUUGGACUAGGGGCCCCCAUCGGGUUACCGAAUUCAGACAAACUCCGAAUGCCAAAGACUUAUCCAUGGGAGUCAGACUGCGAGUGAUAAGAUCCGUAGUCAAGAGGGAAACAGCCCAGACCACCAGCUAAGGUCCCAAAGUAUACGUUAAGUGGAAAAGGAUGUGGAGUUGCUUAGACAACCAGGAUGUUGGCUUAGAAGCAGCCACCAUUUAAAGAGUGCGUAAUAGCUCACUGGUCGAGUGACUCCGCGCCGAAAAUGUACCGGGGCUAAACGUAUCACCGAAGCUGUGGAUUGACAUCUUCCGAUGUCAGUGGUAGGAGAGCGUUCUAAGGGCGUUGAAGCGGGAUCGUAAGGACCCGUGGAGCGCUUAGAAGUGAGAAUGCCGGUAUGAGUAGCGAAAGAUGGGUGAGAAUCCCAUCCACCGAAUGCCUAAGGUUUCCUGAGGAAGGCUCGUCCGCUCAGGGUUAGUCGGGACCUAAGCCGAGGCUGAAAAGCGUAGGCGAUGGACAACAGGUUGAUAUUCCUGUACCACCUCUUUACCGUUUGAGCAAUGGGGGGACGCAGGAGGAUAGGGUAAGCGCGCUGCUGGAUUAGCGCGUCCAAGCAGUUAGGCCGGUAACGAGGCAAAUCCCGUUACCACACAGGCUGAGCUGUGACGGCGAGGGAAAUAUAGUACCGAAGUUCCUGAUUCCACACUGCCAAGAAAAGCCUCUAGCGAGGGAAAAGGUGCCCGUACCGCAAACCGACACAGGUAGGCGAGGAGAGAAUCCUAAGGUGAGCGAGAGAACUCUCGUUAAGGAACUCGGCAAAAUGACCCCGUAACUUCGGGAGAAGGGGUGCUCAUUAGGGUGAAUAGCCCUGAUGAGCCGCAGUGAAUAGGCCCAGGCGACUGUUUAGCAAAAACACAGGUCUCUGCGAAGCCGCAAGGCGAAGUAUAGGGGCUGACGCCUGCCCGGUGCUGGAAGGUUAAGAGGAGAGGUUAGCGCAAGCGAAGCUUUGAAUCGAAGCCCCAGUAAACGGCGGCCGUAACUAUAACGGUCCUAAGGUAGCGAAAUUCCUUGUCGGGUAAGUUCCGACCCGCACGAAAGGCGUAACGAUCUGGGCACUGUCUCAACGAGAGACUCGGUGAAAUUAUAGUACCUGUGAAGAUGCAGGUUACCCGCGACAGGACGGAAAGACCCCGUGGAGCUUUACUGUAGCCUGAUAUUGAAUUUUGGUACAGCUUGUACAGGAUAGGUAGGAGCCUGAGAA
rnacentral:rRNA from 1 species